UUUACCUACGGGACGCAGCAGUGGGGAAUAUUGGGCAAUGGGCGCAAGCCUGACCCAGCAACGCCGCGUGAAGGAAGAAGGCUCUCGGGUUGUAAACUUCUUUUAUCAGGGACGAAGCAAGUGACGGUACCUGAUGAAUAAGCCACGGCUAACUACGUGCCAGCAGCCGCGGUAAUACGUAGGUGGCAAGCGUUAUCCGGAUUUACUGGGUGUAAAGGGCGUGUAGGCGGGAAAGCAAGUCAGAUGUGAAAACCAUGGGCUCAACCUGUGGCCUGCAUUUGAAAC
rnacentral:rRNA from 1 species